UUCCUCCUAGGGGAGCCUGGUUGGGAUUCUCUCUGCCCCUACCCCGCCCCAGUAAAUAAUUUUUGUAAGUUGUUUUGGAUUGCUGCCCCUCAAACUUGCCCCCCCCAUGCAAUUAAAAGCCACAUUGAACUUGAUUGUUUUUGAAGGAAGUAGCCAAAGAUGUCCCUAUUGAGGUGAGAGACCCUACCUUGACUGCUCCCAAUCUCACACUUAACACAACUUACACAACCAACUCGUUCCUCCGCUGGCUUCUCUUCUCCCUGCUCCCCAGCCCCACCCUCACCCCCAUUCACCAGUUUUACUUCUCCCAGAAGGCUUAAGCAUUUGCAACCGGUAACACCAGAUUUGAGUCAAAUUUUUAUUGCUGCUGAUGAAGGAAACUUGCAUAAUUAAACUUCUAGGUGAGAAGGUGAACUGUUGACAAUGGUGCAGCUGGAAUUUGACACUCGUGUUCUUCUUACAGACUUCUGAAUGAAGAAAAGAAAAAAGGGAACAAAGGAAAGAAAACUGGAAGGCAAUCUGUAGCUCUUAGGUUGGUGUGUAAUGUCAGCACCAGACGCUCAUCACCCUCAUCUGUCUGUGGCCAUCUCUGUUCCUAACUAUCUCGCCAGGGGAUCAAACCCGGACCUUCUCCCUGCCUCCACCUCUGCCCUCACCCCCUGCCCUCACCCUCCUGCCUCCUCUGGCUGAGACACUUGACCAAGUGCUCUGCCUCCAUUCUGCUAGCAUCAGGAGGUUGUUUACAAGGUCAUUUUGACGCCAAGUGUGGAUCUAAUGGUGCCGUCCUUAAAAAGGAGGACAAUAUUCAUUACAUUCCUAUCAUGUAAGAAUGUUUACCAGUAUUACUGCAUGAAUUAUAGUUAACAUUUUAUUUUCCUGGGACAUCAAGUUAAAGGCUAAAUAGAAAAUGGGAAUGGUUAAAUAGAAAAUGUAAUAGUAUCUAUUUUGCACUCUUUGGAAAUAGCU